GAUGAACGCUAGCGGCAGGCCUAAUACAUGCAAGUCGAACGGAGUAGCAAUACUUAGUGGCGGACGGGUGCGGAACACGUACGUAACCUGCCCGAGAGUGGGGGACAACAGAGAGAAAUUUCUGCUAAUACCGCAUAAUGCAGCGGCACCAUAAGGUGACAGUUGUUAAAGGCGAAAGUCGCUUUCGGAGGGGCGUGCGUCUGAUUAGUUAGUUGGUGAGGUAACGGCUCACCAAGACGAUGAUCAGUAACUGGUCUGAGAGGAUGAUCAGUCACACGGGCACUGAGACACGGGCCCGACUCCUACGGGAGGCAGCAGUAGGGAAUAUUGGGCAAUGGGCGCAAGCCUGACCCAGCCAUGCCGCGUGAAGGACGAAGGUGCUCAGCAUUGUAAACUUCUUUUCUCCGAGAAUAAGGCAACGGUAACUCCGUUGAUUGCAGGUAUCGGAGGAAUAAGCACCGGCAAACUACGUG
rnacentral:rRNA from 1 species